rnacentral:lncRNA from 1 species
GCGUGCCGACCGUUCCGGCAUUACUGGUGGUUCUCCCCGCCUAAACAUGUAUGACUAAAUCCUUCACCUGGAGCAGGUCUGCAUACUGGCUUUAUCUCAAACAGAAAAUUUUCGGGAGCUGGUCAGCACACACAACACUAUUACUUAUCAGAAAACUCAGAUGGGGUCCGAGAGAAGACAGUUUAUAUAUACAGUUCAAAUAAUAUCAAAGUAGUAAAUGAGUGACAAUUAGCGCAUUAGGCUCACAUAAACAGUAAUAUCCAAAAAUACUAAAAGCCAAAAUUAAUCAAUGUACAAGCUCGAAUUCUUAUAGGUCCCCAGCGAAGUCGCCGAAGCUGUCACGCCCCUUUUUACCACCCUGCAAAAUAUAUUAUGUGAUUGUUGUGGGUUAAAAGUUUUUCCAAUUAAAGUGAUAUUUUGGAAAUAGGGAUUAUUUUAUUUACAAAUUCGCCACUUGGAAUUAAUUUUUGGGCAUUCCAAGUCACCUUUUAUUUGAAUCCCUAUUCAAAGGAAGAUUUGAAUCUUUUAUUAUUGGUCUGAGAAAAUAUAGUCCGAAUAAGAAAUUCUAUUGAUCGGGGAGAAGGUAUAAGGCAUUUUUCGAGUCUUGUGGCCCUUUUAUUGACUAAAAAUGGCUUGAAUUAAUUUGGAUAAACUAUUAUUUACAUUAAAUUAUUAUCGCCCAUUGCCGCUUUUUAUUAUAUUUGGCCUAGGAGCGUGUAAGCACACAAGGCCUUUUUAUCAUGUGCGUUUAACCAAGGAAUGGGUAUGAACACCUAGCUAAAUGCAAUUUGUUAUUUAGAGAUUCAAGGAGCACGAAUGCACACAUGACCAUUUUUAUUAAUUAAAAAUGACUAAGGAUCGUGUGUGAACACAUGGUCUAUAUUUGGAGCGUCCUAAAUUUCCUAGUGUUUAAUUAAUUUAUUAAAGGUUAUUAAGUUAUUAAAUUAGUAAAAAAUCCGAUUUUUGAAAAUAAUUAGUAGGAAAAAUAUAGAAAAUUAAUGUUGGGCCAGCUGUAAAUAAUUUAAAGAAAUGGAACAUCUUAUUGAAAAUAUGGGGGCUGAUUAUUAAAAAGAUAUGCGCCAGCUUUGUUAUGAUUUGGAAUAGAAUAACUAAUAAAAUCAAUCUUUUAUAUAUUCAAUUAUACCACCCGAUUAACUUGCUCGAUAAACUUCAACUCAAGCAGUUAGUAAGUUUCAUUCUCAAUCCUACUCAUUUAUUCAAUUCUUCCACACAUACCAAAUUAUCUAAGACAAUAUAUCUUAUUUUAAAUUUUAACAAGAAAACUAACAAAUCAAACAAUCUCUUCAUUCGUUGAUGAACCAUGUUCCAUUUAUCAUUAAUAAAUCAUAACACAUUAAGUUUUCUUAAGAACAAAAUAACUAAAUAUCAUGAUUCACACCAUGUUAUUAUUCAAUGAAUUUUGAAAGAUUAAUCUCAAAUAAAGUUACUACUUAACAGAGGACGAUUCAGCUAACGAGCUAACUAUACGAAUUGUAGCCAACAUAAGUCACACAAAAUAUUCUUUCCACUAAUCCUCUCCAUUAAACCUCACCAGCACACUUCAUUCCCUCACAAAAAAAGAUAUUCUUUCUAAACCUUACUAUCAUACUCAUCAUUUAAACCUAUAUAUUUUUCACAGUUUCAUCAACAAUUGAUCCAUGACAUAAGAAAUAUUUUUCAACAUUUGAAAGGAGAGCGGAAAUUAGUUUUAGAUUGAAACAAAUGGACUGAAACAUGCCCCCAUGAAAUUUACAAUUCAAACACCAACAUAAUUUAUGUUCCCGAAUCUAACAACUUGGCAAAGAAACAAAGUGAGAGCUUUUUCCAAAUUGAGAGCUAUUGUAUUACAAAUGCUCAUACUUACGUCAAUAUACAUGGUCAAAAUGUAUUCAAGGCAUAAUUUAAAAUAAAAAAGCUUGAAUCAUCUCAUUUUUCAUUUAUUCUUGAUCCAAGCGUAGUACACUAAUUAAUUGGUCAACAGAAAAGGAAAUAUCAGCGGAGAAUGAAAUGGAUUUUAAAAUUUAGCAAAAUCAGCAACAAAACAGCAGCAGAAUCCAGCAAAAAAAACCCGAAAGGAUCCAGAAUUUGAACCAGGAACUCAACGACUUUUAAGAAAAGAAGAAACUAGAAACUCGCUUCAAGGACCUUUGUAUUUUGAAGUAUUCUUUGCUCUCAGAAACUCACUUAAAACUCUCAAACUCUCUAUUGUUUUUGUGUCCACAGUCUCUCUAAUGUAUAGAGUGUGUAAAAGAUGUAUUUUUUAGGUGUGUAAAAGAUGUAUUCUUUAGGUGUGAUAGAGUGUAUAAAAGAUGUAUAGAAAUGAGAAAAAUAACCCUUCUUUAUAUAGGAGGAGAAAGGGCAUUGAGACAGAUUAUUUUUGGCCAAAAUCUAUUCAAAAUAAUAGAUUUUUUACCAAAAAUCUAUCCAAAACCAGAACUUUGUCCAAUGAACAGUUUUCCUCACCAAAUCUGGACAGCCUUUUGGAGUAUUAUACUCCAAAGCAGUCCUUAACUGUAAAAGCAACCAAAUAAAGGGCCUACACUCAAGUACCCCCCCCCCCCCCCUCCCUUCAAUUCAACAUUUAGCUCAAAUAUUCAGAGCCUAAAGCGACCAAGACAGUCCUCAUUAUGAACUACUACCAAUCAGAAGCAAUACCAUUAGUGGAAUAUCAAUUUGGAAUGCAACAACAUGGCUAUCAAACUAACCAAACAAGCUUAUAAAUUAACUAACAUGUCUCUUAAAAUAUUUAAAUCAAAACAGCAUCACCACAUAAACUAAUUGAAACCAAACAAACAAACAAUAGUAGUGAUAGACCAAACUAGUAAAAUGGACGAAAUAAUAUCGCUAACUCAAUUAUAAAGGACUAAACUAAGAAUCAACAAGAGACGACUAACAUCACCGAUUCACAACUAAAAAACGACUAACUAAUACAACUAAUUCAAACAAACGAGUAACCAAAUUGACAAAUGAUUAUGCCGAAAAGCUGAAACUUUAGUUAAUUAGCAUGACGAGCUAAACAUGAAAUAACAGAAAUUAGAAGUUUACAAACUUGAAUCUAUAACUAAUUUCAACACCACUAGCAGAAACUAUGAGAUAAGAAUCCGAUUGAUACAAUGAACUAACAGAACGAAUAACAUAAUAAUUCAAAAUCAACAAACGACAACUAAUAUCACUAAUUAAGAAAAAAAUAGAACUUAAACUAAUCAAACAAAAACAAUCUAAAAUCAGUCAACAAAGAAAAACAUAAAAUCAAUGAACAAGGGAUUAUGAUUUUACCCAACAAAGGCAUUCGUUAUCGAUUCGAGCAGCGAGAUGAUUUUGAGAACCUCGAGUAGUGGCUAUCCAACCUUGGAAUGCUCGCUUCAUUUCGGCAGAUGCUAAAAUGAAUGAAUUUCAGCGUCAUACCCGAAAGAAAUGAGGGUCUUUAAGUCGAAGAUGGUUAAAAAAGGGAGGGUCAAUGGUGCAGUCGUCCGAUAGUGAAGGUGGUGGGACGGCAAUGGGGUGGUGGACGGCGGCGCCGGGUUGAAGUAUCGGUUUGAAACUAACAUAAAUCAGUAGUUCUUCAAGAGUUGUAUCCAAAUAUGUGUGUAUAAUGAGAUGGAGAUGGCUAGAAAUUGACUAAUUUCAAAAGCAUUUGGGGCUAGGGUUUCGGCCAAAAUAGGAUUCGUGAGGGUGGAGAGAAAUUUAGGAAAUUUGGGGGUUAGAUUUGAAAAGAUGAGGUUGAGAUGAGGAGAGGGUGAAAAGUGUUUGACCGCCAUUGGCGGCAGAGCACGGUGGUGGCAAUGGCAGCGGUUGAAAGGUGAGGGAGAAGAUAGAAGAAAGGAGUUUCUAGGGUUUGGG